rnacentral:lncRNA from 1 species
AACUGGGUUGGAUUGUGAGCCCGUGAAAACAAUCGGUUGGUUCUAGUUGGUGAGCCUGUGAAAACCGACCGAGUUCGUUGUGAUCUCGCAAAACAACAAGUUGGGUUGUGAGCUUGUAAAACAACCAACUGUAAUCUGAGGGAUUAUAGUGAAAUUUCCAAGAGGUCUUGGGGGGUGGAUGUAGGUGCUGGGGUGCACCGAACCACUAUACAUCUUUGUGUUUGUGAUGCCUUAUCUCUUGUAUUUCAUGCCUUACAUUCAUGCUUGAUUGUGUAAUAUCUCUAGCUUUGUUUUCUAUAGAGUUACAAGUGAUUGUUUAGAAUUUGCUUAGCUUCCACUCCACUCUUACCAUACACAUAGAUUAAAAUUGAUCAUACAACUAUAAGUUAAUUUUAGAUCAAUUGCACCCUAAAGCCAUAGUAUAAUUGCUCUAGCUUAAUUUUUCACUGCUUUACUUGUAAUUGCCUAGAGCUUAAGUAAAUAACAUCUUAUCAUUCCGCUGCAUUCUAUUCAAAGUAAAAAUUAGGGAACAUAAUUUUUAGAAAACCCAAUUUACCCCCCCUCUUGGGUUGUCACCUUGGGCAACAA